rnacentral:misc_RNA from 1 species
GACAAGAGUAACUUCCCCUAGUAUUUGGUUGUUCUUCCGUCUCUUGAGACCGUCUUCUAUGUGGCAUAUUUCACGAUGAUUCACAGCCUUUUCGUCAUUAAUAACAGCGGAGAUGUGUUCAUGGAAAAGCAUUGGAAAAGUGUGAUACACAAAUCAAUAUGUGACUACUUUUUUGAAGCCCAGAAUAAGGCCUCCUGCCCUGAGGAUGUGCCGCCAGUCAUCCCCACCCCCCACCACUACCUCAUCAACAUCUACAGGAACAACCUCUACUUCGUGGCUGUCACCACCACUGAGGUUCCCCCGCUGUUUGUGGUGGAGUUUCUACACCGGAUCUGUGACACAUUCGAGGACUACUUCAGUGAAUGCACCGAGUCCCAGCUCAAGGAACACUACGUUAUAGUCUAUGAGCUCCUGGACGAGAUGCUGGACAAUGGCUUCCCACUGGCCGUGGAGUCAAACGUGCUGAAGGAACUCAUCAAACCUCCCAACUUCCUCCGUACCAUAACGGACACAGUCACCGGCAAGUCCACCAGCGUGAGUGCCACUCUGCCCACUGGUCAGCUGUCCAACAUUCCCUGGCGCCGGACUGGGGUCAAGUACACGAACAACGAGGCCUACUUCGAUGUGAUCGAGGAAAUUGAUGCCAUCAUUGACAAGUCCGGCUCGACCGUCAUCGCGGAGAUACAGGGAUAUAUUGACUGUUUGAUCAAACUGAGUGGGAUGCCGGAUCUCACCUUGUCCUUCAUCAACCCUCGUCUCCUGGAUGAUGUCAGCUUCCAUCCAUGUGUCCGAUUCAAGAGAUGGGAGAGUGAGAGAAUCUUGUCAUUUGUGCCGCCUGAUGGCCACUUCCGGCUGAUGUCGUACCACAUAGGAACCCAGAAUAUUGUUGCCAUUCCAAUUUAUCUCCGACACAAUAUAUCGUUCCGAGACGGAAACUCAGGCAGGUUUGAUGUCACCAUUGGACCGAAACAGACCUUGGGAAAAACAAUAGAGAAUGUGACACUGGAGGUGCCAUUCCCAAAGUCCGUCCUGAACGUCACGCUCUCCACCAGUCAGGGGAAGUACACGUUUGACCCUGUCACCAAACUCAUGACGUGGGAUGUCGGCAAGAUCGAUGCAUCUAAAUUGCCAAAUAUCAAAGGCAAUAUUAGUCUACAAACGGGUGCUGCUAUCCCUGAGUCCAACCCUGUGUGUACGGUGACAUUUACAAUAAGUCAGCUGGCUGUGUCGGGAAUCAAAGUGAAUCGGCUGGACAUGUAUGGCGAGGGUGAUCAAAAAAAAUACAAACCUUUCAAGGGAGUGAAGUAUUUAACAAGGGCGGGAAAGUUCCAGAUUCGCACAUGAUCAACAAAGACUGUACUAUUUGUGUUUCUGAUUUCCAUGUAUGUAGGAGUAUGCACAUCAUCACUGGGAUGGCUGUACGGGACAGUCUGGUGCACAGAGACAUUCUGACGAUACGUCGGCAAUACCUCACGGAUUUGUAUAAACUACAUUCCUCCAUCAACCCUGAAUACAUACAGCCACUGCGGUGUAGUCGAUAUGUAACGAUUCAAGCGGUGGCCUGGCUACUGAUAGAUUGAAGCCAGCAAGUACUCAGACCAAUGAGUUAGUGAGUUAAAAUUUAAAGUCACAUCAGUAGUAUUUCAGCCAUAUCGGGACUAUUAGGGCUGGUUAUCGAUAUAGAUCAUUGAGAUCGAUAAUUGUUAACAAAAUAUCAAUCAAUUAUCGAUAAAUAUAGAUUAUAUUAAGCCAGCCCUAGUGACUAUAAAAUGUUAUACAUAGUAAAUACACUGAAAUCAGACCAAAGAAAGGCUUGCAUUAGGCAUCAGUCUUGCUUGACAACGGUAUAAGGAUCUAUACCGAAACGUCGCUUUUUUUUGCUUUUUUUUACAGUAUUAAAGAAGUUGUUAUCCAUAAAAUUGUGUCUAUCUUGCAUUAGGCCUGUCUGCUCUGAUUUCGGUUUAAGCAGAUUUGUUUAUGAACAAGUGAAAAGUCUGAUCAUGUGAUAUACAAAUUAGUCCGUGGCAGUGGUUUAAUGGUAAAUCAUCACUGCUCUGGAAUGUAAUCCAUGAGUUAUACACUUCCUCAUUUCCUUGGCUCAGUUAAAAUAGACGUUUGUCACCACAUACCGGGGGUAUCCUUGCCGAGCGAUAGACGAACACAGUAUAUAAAAACUGUGAUGUAUUGACGACAGACAGUCGUAACAAGCUCAUGGAUACUUUGGUACCAAUUGUGUGAAAGCGCCUCAUUAACACACCAGGGUGCCGUUGUUCAAAACGAUCUUAGCACUAAGAUGAUUGUAACACCCAUACCUUAACAUAGACUUACAACGGUAGUAGCUCUAAGGUGAUCGUAACUCCCAAUAUCUUAACAUUGACUCACGACAGUCGUAGCGCUAAGGUGAUCGUAACUCCCAUAUCUUAACAUUGACUCAUGACAGUCGUAGUGCAAAGGUGAUUGUACCUCCCAUAUCUUAACAUUGACUCACGACAGUCGUAGUGCAAAGGUGAUUGUAACU